rnacentral:rRNA from 1 species
AGGUCCGGCGUAGAGGGUAAGACCCCCGUAGACGAAACAUCAGCGGCUUGCUUGCUCAUCUCCCAAGUAGCACGGGGCCCGAGAAAUCCCGUGUGAAUCUGGCGGGACCACCCGCUAAGCCUAAAUAGUCCCUGGUGACCGAUAGCGGAUAGUACCGUGAGGGAAUGGUGAAAAGUACCGCGGGAGCGGAGUGAAAUAGUACCUGAAACCGUGUGCCUACAAGCCGUGGGAGCGUCGC